rnacentral:rRNA from 1 species
CCUACGGGAGGCAGCAGUGGGGAAUAUUGCACAAUGGGCGGAAGCCUGAUGCAGCGACGCCGCGUGAGGGAUGAAGGCCUUCGGGUUGUAAACCUCUUUCAGCAGGGACGAAGCGUGAGUGACGGUACCUGCAGAAGAAGCACCGGCUAACUACGUGCCAGCAGCCGCGGUAAUACGUAGGGUGCGAGCGUUGUCCGGAAUUACUGGGCGUAAAGAGUUCGUAGGCGGUUUGUCGCGUCGUUUGUGAAAACCCGGGGCUCAACUUCGGGCUUGCAGGCGAUACGGGCAGACUUGAGUGUUUCAGGGGAGACUGGAAUUCCUGGUGUAGCGGUGAAAUGCGCAGAUAUCAGGAGGAACACCGGUGGCGAAGGCGGGUCUCUGGGAACAACUGACGCUGAGGAACGAAAGCGUGGGUAGCAAACAGGAUUAGAUACCCUGGUAGUCCACGCCGUAAACGGUGGCGCUAGGCGUGGGUUCCUUCCAACGGGAUCGUGUGCCGUAGCUAACGCAUUAGCCGCCCGUCGUGGGGUAGGUACGGCCGCGACGACGUAAACUACGAAGGAAGUAGACGGACGNGAGACGUGCCGACGGACGACGACGAGGGAGAGG